UUUUUCUUCUCAUGUUUGGAGGAAGUGCGCGUAGCAUGCACAGCACCACCGGAUCCGUACGUACGUACGCUUCUUUGCUGAAAUGAAGUGACUCAUCAUCGUGCAUUAUAUCCUGUAUAGUCUCUAAAAGUGUCGCCUAAAUCUUCCCAUUCGUUUGACGAACUCUCUGAAAUCAACAUGGCAGGGAGCGGAGCUGCAAAAUGUGGAUUUAUUCUCCUGGAUGCCCUGGCAUUGGUGCUCGUUGCAGUACCGGCAAUAUUGUUCCGUAUUCCGGGGCUAAAAUUGCCCAUUUACCAGCGAGGCUUCUUCUGCGGUGACGAGAGCCUGUCGUAUCCCUACAAAGAUUCUACGGUGUCGUCAGCACUGUUGUAUUCGGUGGGAGUGGGACUUCCCCUUAUUCUGAUUCUACUUACAGAGGUGACCAUCUUUGCCUAUCGGCGUCGCCAGGACACCGAGUAUCUCCCGCCGGGCAGCUUCAACCGCUGCUGCUGCGAUGUGGUCAUCCCGCCACUCCUCUACCAGCUCCUUAAGUACGCUGCCCAGUUCUUCUUUGGCUUCUUUGUGACGUUGGCUGUCUACGACAUCUCCAAGAACGUGAUCGGCCGGCUCAGGCCCCACUUCUUCGACAUCUGCCAGCCCAACUUUGAGGGCUUCAACUGCACGGAAGGGGGACGACCCGUGUACGUGGAAGAUUACGAGUGCCUGGGAGACAAUGAACACAGGAUUGAAGAAUCACAUCGUUCCUUUCCAUCUGGCCACGCGGCAACCUCUGUCUAUUGCAUGCUGUAUCUGACGCUGUAUCUCCAGUCACGUUGGAAGUGGGGCGACACAGCCUUUCUGCGACCCCUGAUGCAGUUCAUUGCCCUCCUGCUGGCUCUCUACACCUGCCUAAGUCGCAUCUCUGACUACAAGCACCACUGGAGUGAUGUGCUAGGGGGCGCUGUCAUAGGUGCAAUCAUCGCAGUGCUCGUGUAUUUUGGUGUCAACCCCCAAAAGAAAGAGCGUCGGAGCAACGGACCUCUACCGAAACCGCAACAUAGGAACAUCCAGUCACCACAAUUCCGAAAUGGUCUUCAUGGAAAUGAACCCACGUUCGACUCGUAACAAGAACGACGGCUACCUCUGAGGCACGACGCCGUUGCCUAGUGAUCAACUGGAGAAGAGAUUGGAGUAUAUUUGUACCCUUUUUUGGUGGUAGUGGUGGGGGGAGGGAAUAAGGCAAGCCUUCAGCAGUGGCUUGACACUGUGUACUUUCUUGGGGUUUGGGGCUGUAAACUAUGCCCUUGAAUGGCUUAGCAUCCGAAUUAGCAUGAGGCCACUGUGAGCGACUUGAAAUGCCAAAAAGUCACGCUAAUAUGGAUUAAAGGAUUUUACUACUUACAAAAUAAAAAAAAAAAAGCCCAGUCUUAAUGAAUUACAAAGAUAACAUUUCACAGAGCUUUCAAGCAGGCAACGUGGGCCGAGUUUUUGGAUGGUCUCUUUGUGACAUGAGUUCCCUACUCAUUGGCCAGAACAGGCAACGUUGGAACUCUUUGGCCAUACUAGUAAGUAUCAACUGUAGAACAAAUAUACACAGUGCACAGCACAUGUCCCUGUGGGAUUUGCCAGACUAUGGUGCUGGAUCUCAACCACACAAAUGAUUUGGUGCCCACUUUUGUUUUCAAAGAGUGUAUGAGCCAAAGUCUUAUUUGCACUGUUAUUGAAAACAAAAAUUUCGUCAAAGCCCAAUGCUGUCUCAGAGGCUCUGUGAUUUCCAUACAGGCCCCAUGCUCUUUGAAAUCAAAGGUCGGGGGCAGGCUUGAACAGGGGAACAAACAGGAUAAAAGCAGUUCCUGAGUCACAGGACCCACGUGCCGUUCCACAUUUGUGGAUGUGGCAUAAGAGCCUUCCUUUUUUUUUCUGCGAUGUGCAGUUUCUAUUGCCAUUACAACUCAACUUGUACAUGCGUUCGCAAAGGAAAGUCUUACCCUGCACGUCGCUGUCGGCCCAAUUUUGUUAAUGUUUUCAAGGCCUGGGAUUAGUUUGGAUUCUGGAUACACACUCAGGAAGGAAUCCUAAUUUUUCCCCAAGGUCUGGUGGAGGCUUUUUUUGGUUUUAUUUAUACGUCAUGUAUUUCCACAUUUGUUGGAAUAUAGUAUUAACUGUGUAUAUCUAUGCCUGAAAGGAAGAAAAAAACAAAACGGAAUGCAUGUACAAUUCAUUAGAGUUAUCGCUAUUUUAAGUAUUUUAGCUCUGUUUAAUAUUUUUAGGAAUGCUUAUCACCAACUUCAGAAAAUGCUCGCUUUGAGGGCUGUUGAGUUAUGGAUGCGUUAGUUGGCAAUUUAAUCGUAUUGUAAAAUCAUAUUUUAUGUGUAUUUGCUUGACAAUUUUGAAACGUUUCUGUUCAAAAGAUUUAAUGGUUGGUAUUUUAAUGGCAACCCAACCUGGGAUGGGCCAACUGCCAGUUAAGGGGACUAAACUCAAAUUUACCUAAUACAUGUUUAGUUGGAAAGAGUUCCAUAUACGGAUGCCAGUAAUUAUUCCCUACGGUGACUUAAUAGCCAUCAGAAAGCAAAAAUACAUCCAGAGAAGUUCAGUUUAGGAGGGACAGUACCGAGUUGUUUACUCAGAAAAUACUCAGAACUUUUCAGACCAGUCUCAAGGGUUUAUGCAAUGGGUGUCAAGCGGCGUCCGCAUACGGAACUCUCUCCGUAUAUUUCAUGAUUAUAACUCACCAAAAAAAAUAAAGGGCAAAAUCUAUAUACAGUUUCAAACAAUUAGAAUUCACCAAACAUGAUUAAUCCACAGGGAGAGCAGGGUACAUGUAGUUCUAAUAAUAGCCAUGUAAAUGCAAAGAAAAAUAGUUACUGACACAGCAGAGAAUGUGCCAAUAAUAGCCAUGUAAAUGCAAAGAAAAAUAGUUACUGACACAGCAGAGAAUGUGCCCGUGGAAAGGGGCUGACUACGGUCAAACAAUAUUGCAGUCGGGUCUGCAGGGUUGUCGCUACAUUGGCCAGCACCGGUCGGUGCUAGCCACCACUCAACAUUACCUGCCAGCACUGGGAAUGGAAAUGAAGCUUGCCAGCCAGCACAGAUCACAAUGUAUAUUAAUUAUGACAGUUUUUUACCAUUGGGAGAGAAAAUGGGCUCUCAUUGUUUUUUAAAUUUUCACAAACAGCCAGCACUAAACAAAAAUCCUAGCUACAACCCUUCAAGUUGUGGUAGCAAAAUGAAGGAAAGGUAAAAAGAGUAUUAAAGUUGGAAUAUACUCACAUUAAGACUGCUCAAGCCGGUGAACCCUUCCAGAAAAAUGCUGCCGGUGGGUGGUGGUGAUGCUAAGUAACAAAUGUAAUACAUUGCAGCAAACCAAGGCAAACUCUCUAAACAUAGAGAACAAAAUCACACCACCACUAUGUCCCAGUCAUAAGUCCAUGCCCUACUGGCCUAACAGGCAGCUUUUUUAGGCCUGGUUACUAUAAUUUAAGAGGAAUGCUAAGCAGGACUAGACAUGUUUAAGGAAUUCACAGAACUCCUUAAUGAGCUAAAGAAACAGUGCAUGUCUCAAAGGCACAGAGCCAGGGAAAAGCUCCACUGUGAAGAGUGAGGAACAAAGGUACAUGAACAAUAGAUGCUACACAGUACUGGGUCAAGACACCAAUCCAACUUAAAGGUGCAAUUGCAUGGCUUUAAAAAAGGAGCAACUGACUCCAGUUUUGAUACAUUAUAAAUAGAAUUUAUCGAGCUGCUUGCAUCUGGUUGAUUUUAUCUCUUUAUGAUCAGGAAAGCAGGUCAGAGUGAUGUACACUUGACUUGACAGACUCCAUCUCAGAAUUUGGGGGCCACACUUGCCCAUACUUGUCAGGUUAUUGUCUUAUUAUUGAUGCACUUUUAGAACUUUUGAUGAACUUUUUAACACCAAAGUCAAGUUUUGCCUGAUAACUCCUAAACACUGUGCACUAUUUUGUCAAAUCAAACACAAUGUUGGAACUACAGUUUGUCAACUUUUUUCCCCUGAAACAAGGACAGAUGCCUCAGAGGCGUUUUAGUGUGGCACAGGGGCCUUUCUACUGUCUACCCCCACCAUUGACAGUAAUAUUUUACUCCUGUGUGAUGUUAACCUCAGGUUUCCUCUUCAGUCACGGGGUGGGAGACAGGAUAUGCCAAGUUUCCUCCUUUUUUUUUGACGAUCAGUGCUGUGGUUUAGACCUGUUCCAGGUCUGCUUCUGGGAAGAAAGUCUCCUGUUGCUGUCCCUUGUUGAGCAAAACACCUCACAAGAAAUGAUUCUCAUUUUGUGCAUGGUCUGACAACUAACUGGUGCAUUGAUACUACUUUAAAAUAAUGUUCAAGCUUUGAGGCAGUGAAAUGGACUGAAAUGGUUACAUUUUAGUAUUUUGUACAAAUUGUUAAACUACCAAUUUUUACAGAGGAAAAAGCAACUGUUGUACACUGUCCAUGCUUUCUGAAUUGAAAUUUUGUGCAUUAUGCCGUGCUUUUGUGCACCAGAAAAAUCACCUGUAUAUUUUUAAACUGCACUUGAAUGAAACAGCAUGUACAUGUACAUUUUAUAAGCAUGUAAUUAGUGUAUACACACAGUUUUUGAAACCAUGUUGAAUGGUUGAGAUUGAUAUAUGAAUGUGCCUGAUAAUUGUGUAGAAUGUAAAUUGUGUUCCAUACAUAAAUCUAUAUUAUACUUAGGAAGUGUACACACUGAAACUAUUUGAAGUCAUAUAUGUCAGAUUGUUCAUUAAAUCAUCUUAUCCAUUGCA
rnacentral:misc_RNA from 1 species